UACGGAGGGUGCGAGCGUUGUUCGGAAUUACUGGGCGUAAAGGGCGCGUAGGCGGCUUAUCAAGUCAGGCGUGAAAUUCCCGGGCUCAACCUGGGGGCUGCGCUUGAUACUGAUUGGCUUGAAUGCGGGAGAGGAUAGUGGAAUUCCCAGUGUAGAGGUGAAAUUCGUAGAUAUUGGGAAGAACACCGGUGGCGAAGGCGGCUAUCUGGCCCGUAAUUGACGCUGAGGCGCGAAAGCGUGGGGAGCAAACAGG
rnacentral:rRNA from 1 species